rnacentral:rRNA from 1 species
AAAACUCUGUUGUCAGGGAAGAACGUCCCCGUGAGUAACUGCACGGGGAGUGACGGUACCUGACCAGAAAGCCACGGCUAACUACGUGCCAGCAGCCGCGGUAAUACGUAGGUGGCAAGCGUUAUCCGGAAUUAUUGGGCGUAAAGCGCGCGUAGGCGGUUUCUUAAGUCUGAUGUGAAAGCCCCCGGCUCAACCGGGGAGGGUCAUUGGAAACUGGGGAACUUGAGUGCAGAAGAGGAGAGUGGAAUUCCAUGUGUAGCGGUGAAAUGCGCAGAGAUAUGGAGGAACACCAGUGGCGAAGGCGGCUCUCUGGUCUGUAACUGACGCUGAUGUGCGAAAGCGUGGGGAUCAAACAGGAUUAGAUACCCUGGUAGUCCACGCCGUAAACGAUGAGUGCUAAGUGUUAGGGGGUUUCCGCCCCUUAGUGCUGCAGCUAACGCAUUAAGCACUCCGCCUGGGGAGUACGGCCGCAAGGUUGAAACUCAAAGGAAUUGACGGGGA